GGCGCUUUGGCGCCGCCAUGAGAUGGGCCCGCGUUCCAUUAGCUAGUUGGGGGUGUAACGGACCACCAAGGCGAUGAUGGGUAGCCGGCCUGAGAGGGUGAACGGCCACACUGGGACUGAGAUACGGCCCAGACUCCUACGGGAGGCAGCAGCUAAGAAUAUUCCGCAAUGGACGAAAGUUUGACGGAGCGACGCCGCGUGGAUGAGGAAGGCCGAAAGGUUGUAAAAUCCUUUUGUUGCUGAAGAAUAAGCGGGGGAGGGAAUGCCCCUGUGAUGACAUUAGGCGAUGAAUAAGCCCCGGCUAAUUACGUGCCAGCAGCCGCGGUAACACGUAAGGGGCGAGCGUUGUUCGGAAUUAUUGGGCGUAAAGGGCACGUAGGCGGUUUUAUAAGCCUGAUGUGAAAGGCCGGGGCUUAACCCCGGGACUGCGUUAGGAACUGUAGGACUUGAGUCAUGGAGGGGGAGUUGGAAUUCCAGGUGUAGGGGUGAAAUCUGUAGAUAUCUGGAAGAACACCGGUGGCGAAGGCGAAC
rnacentral:rRNA from 1 species